UAUCUCAAUAAGAACAACAACAAUAAUAAAUAAAGAGGCAAUUGUGUUCCACCUGUGCAUGCAAUUAUCAGUCACAGAAAACUGAACAAGAUAAGGGGAGAUUCAUUCUUUUCUCUGAUGUGCAAAGGCUACCUCCACAGUAGUGAGGAGCAUGACAAAAAAGCUUUUUGUCUUUGUUUCAGGGGCAGCUCCCUGCUUCGAUGGAGAGAAGCAUCCUCUGCCCCCACCUGCCCAGGAAAGAAACAAAGUGGUGCUACUUUUGUCAGCUGCCCAGCCCAAGUGAAUAUUGCACCUGUCACUAUCUCCAGGCUGAUAGUACAGGAUAUGCAGAUUUUACCUUUGGAUGGGAGAACAUGGAUCACAGCUGUUUUGAUAGAGUUGUAUGGAGCUGGUGAAUAAGGAAGCCUAACCAAAGCAACGAUUGCCACGUCAACAUGCUUCACCUCAGACUGUGUCCAGAGAUUUCACGUGUGGAAUGACAACCCUUCAGCUUCAUUACUCGGGUGAGACCUUUCCUUUUAUAGUACACUCUAAUUUCAUCUCAGGUGGUUCACUUUCUAACAAAGUCCCAUAACCCAGAUAUACACCAGUUUCUGUGGGAGAGAGCUUAUGUGCACACGUAUCCAUAGACUACUACAAGAUAUAUGCCUGAAAGCAGAAGUACAAGAUAUAUGCCUAAAGCAGAAGUAGAGUUUGCAGUGAGUACCUCCCUAACACUUCCUCUCCACUAUUCCAAGCUUGGGAUCCAUGAUUGCUCAACAAAUUGUUUGGCUUCAUAUGUUAACUCUCUUUUCGAUCACCAGGUUCCAGAUGCCACCAGGAUGCUGGCUAGGCUUCCCUGGAUUGAAGACCCCACCAAUGUGUCCUGGAGCUCAGCUUCUCCAGAGACACACCUUACUAGGGAAAGAGAGAGGCAGACUGGGAGUGUGGACUGACCAGUCGACGCCCAUGUUCAGCGGGGAAGCAACUGCAGAGGCCAGACCUUCUACCUUCUGCAACCCUCAAUGACCCUGGGUCCAUGCGCCCAGAGGGCUAGAGAAUGGGAGGGCUAUCAUGGGAGGGAGUGGGUUAUGGGGAUUGGGUGGUGGGAAUUGUGUGGAGUUGUAUCCCUCCUACCUUAUGUUUUUGUUCAUUGAUCCUUUCUUAAAUAAAAAAUUAAAAAAAACAACAACAACAACAACAAAAUUUUUGGUCCAUACUCCCAGAGGGAUACAGAAUAGGGAAAUUUGUGACUAUGCAGUGGCACACCUGGCUAAACACUCACAUUACAGUGUGCAAGAACCCAGAUUCAAGCCCCUAGUCCCCACCUGCAGGAGGAAAGCUUCACAAGCAGUGAAACAGUGCUGCAAGUGUCUCUUUCUCUCUC